rnacentral:rRNA from 1 species
UACGGGGGGUGCAAGCGUUGUUCGGAAUUACUGGGCGUAAAGCGCGCGUAGGCGGCUUUUCAAGUCAGGCGUGAAAGCCCCAGGCUUAACCUGGGAACUGCGUUUGAUACUGUUAAGCUAGAGUGUGGAAGGGGCUACUGGAAUUCCGUGCGUAGCGGUGAAAUGCGUAGAUAUACGGAGGAACACCAGCGGCGAAGGCGGGUAGCUGGGCCAACACUGACGCUGAUGCGCGAAAGCGAGGGUAGCAAACGGG